GCCACUUUUAUUCGUCUGAGCUCCUUACACAGCGUGAUGAAGUCUCCCCAUUUCAUGUGGCAUCGCCUUAUAAACCGUAAAAUCUGUUCAGUUGUGAACAUGGACAUGCCCUCCAGAUAUUCUCCAUUGACACCAUUUUCUUUAAAAAUCUGGCGGUAGCCACCCAGAUUUAUUUCUUCCAACCAUAAACCGACAUCCUCAACAGUCCAAAUGAAGAAAUCAAGAGGCUCCGGAGGCCUUUCUUUGCUCAUUUCCUCAGUAAAACAGCCCCAAAUUACCGUUCGAGUGCGGAAGAAGAAUGUUGAAAUUUAGCGAGUGAAUUUUCUCUACAUUUGAGGGGAAAAAAUAUUUAAAAAAAAAAAAAAGGAAAGAGAAAGAAAAGAGAGAAAGAGGAAAUGUGUAAGAACAGAGACAAAAAGGCACAGUCUCUUCAACGUCGCUUUAAU
rnacentral:misc_RNA from 1 species